GUUGGGGUUAUGGUAUGGGCCCCAUGGUGGAGGUGGGGUUAUGGUAUGGGCCCCAUGGUGGCAGUGGGGUUAGGGUGUGGUAUGGACCUCAUGGUGGAGGUGGGGUUAUGGUAUGGGCCCCAUGGUGGGGUUAGGGUGUGGUAUGGGCCCCAUGGUGGAGGUGGGGUUUAUGGUAUGGGCCCCAUGGUGGAGAUGUGGGGUUAUGGUAUGGGCCCCAUGGUGGAGGUGGGGUUUAUGGUAUGGGCCCCAUGGUGGAGGUGGGGUUUAUGGUAUGGGCCCCAUGGUGGAGGUGGGGUUUAUGGUAUGGGCCCCAUGGUGGAGAUGUGGGGUUAUGGUAUGGGCCCCAUGGUGGAGAUGUGGGGUUAUGGUAUGGGCCCCAUGGUGGAGAUGUGGGGUUAUGGUAUGGGCCCCAUGGUGGAGAUGUGGGGUUUGUGGUAUGGGCCCCAUGGUGGAGAUGUGGGGUUAUGGUGUUUGUGGUAUGGGCCCCAUGGUGGAGAUGGGGUUAUGGUAUGGGCCCCAUGGUGGAGGUGUGGGGUUAUGGUAUGGGCCCCAUGGUGGAGGUGGGGAUAUGGUAUGGGCCCCAUGGUGGAGCAACACUAUGUCAACUAAACAGGAUCUGAUUGGAUCGAGCCCUGGGUUUUUCUGAUUUAAAAACUAAAAUAAUUGUGUGACUUCCAGCUGUUUUUAAAUCGACAUGCACCACAGCAGGUAAUUGUUCCAUCUGUUUUCUAUGUAAAUAUCAACCCCC
rnacentral:lncRNA from 1 species